CCCCUAUCAGGGUCGCACCUGAAGAGUUUCCAGUACUCUACCAGGUUUGACUACAGGAGGGAGAGUCAAGCAGAGGCAUAUUCAUUCCAUUCCUAGCUUGGGCAGUGGCUAGUGAGUGGAAGGCAAUCUACUACAAGU